rnacentral:rRNA from 1 species
UACGUAGGGGGCUAGCGUUGUCCGGAUUUAUUGGGCGUAAAGAGCGUGUAGGCGGCCAGGUAUGUCCGUUGUGAAAACUCGAGGCUCAACCUCGAGACGUCGAUGGAAACCAUCUGGCUAGAGUCCGGAAGAGGAGAGUGGAAUUCCUGGUGUAGCGGUGAAAUGCGCAGAUAUCAGGAAGAACACCUAUGGCGAAGGCAGCUCUCUGGGACGGUACUGACGCUGAGACGCGAAAGCGUGGGGAGCGAACAGG